CUUGUACUCCCUCCGUCCCAAAAAUUUUGUCUUAAAUUUAUCUAAAUAUGGAUGUAUCAAGUCACGUUUUAGUAUUAGGUACAUCCGUAUCUAGACAAAUCUAAGACAAAAAUUUUGGGACGGAGAGAGUAUUAA
rnacentral:pre_miRNA from 1 species